UAUAUAUAUAUAUAAAUGAGAUGUGAUUUGGGCUAGGUGGCAUUGGAUUUGGGACAUUUUUGCUGAUGUGGCAACUUAUAUUUUUGAGUUUAGGAGGGAAUUCUCAAAUGCCUUCAUCAUUCACGAUUUUAACAAAAAAGUGGCGGGAUCCGGCUGUGAUUCGGGUCACCCAAUAUUAAAAAACGGAUCCUAUAUAUCAUCUUUACCAGACCACCAUAUCUCAUAACCUCACUUUUCACAAACCCUACAUACCAUUUCCUAAAUCUGCUUCUUCGUUUUUCAGAGAUUCAUCGUCCUUAGAUGAGAUUCAUAAGGACGACAAUGUUUUGAUGCUUUCUUCAUCUUCAUGGUUUGCUUGUGGUCUUUCGUAUCCGUCAAAACCCUAAUCGACC